CUUCACCUGCAAAACACACAAAUAUGCAAAAACAAUGAAUUACUGCUCUAUAAUAUGCAGUUAUAGAUGUUAACAGGAUGUAAUAGUAGAUGCUAACAUAAAUAUGAGGUUAUAGAUGUUAACAGUGAUGUAAUAGUAGAUGCUUACAGUAAUAUGAGGUUAUAGAUGUUAACAGUGAUGUAAUAGUGUAGAUGCUUACAGUAAUAUGAGGUUAUAGAUGUUAACAGUGAUGUAAUAGUAUAGAUGCUAACAGUGAUGUAAUAGUAUAGAUGCUAACAUAAAUAUGAGGUUAUAGAUGCUAACAGUGAUGUAAUAGUGUAGAUGCUAACAGUAAUAUGAGGUUAUAGAUGUUAACAGUUAUGUAAUAGUAUAGAUGCUAACAGUGAUGUAAUAGUGUAGAUGCUAACAUAAAUAUGAGGUUAUAGAUGCUAACAGUGAUGUAAUAGUGUAGAUGCUAACAGUAAUAUGAGGUUAUAGAUGUUAACAGUGAUGUAAUAGUAGAUGCUAACAGUAAUAUGAGGUUAUAGAUGUUAACAGUGAUGUAAUAGUAUAGAUGCUAACAGUAAUAUGAGGUUAUAGAUGUUAACAGUGAUGUAAUAGUAGAUGCUAACAGUAAUAUGAGGUUAUAGAUGCUAACAGUGAUGUAAUAGUAUAGAUGCUAACAGUAAUAUGAGGUUAUAGAUGUUAACAGUGAUGUAAUAGUAGAUGCUAACAGUAAUAUGAGAUUAUAGAUGUUAACAGUGAUGUAAUAGUAGAUGCUAACAGUAAUAUGAGGUUACAUAUGUUAACAGUGAUGUAAUAGUAGAUGCUAACAGUAAUAUGAGGUUAUAGAUGUUAACAGUGAUGUAAUAGUAUAGAUGCUAACAGUAAUAUGAGGUUAUAGAUGUUAACAGUGAUGUAAUAGUAGAUGCUAACAGUAAUAUGAGGUUAUAGAUGUUAACAGUGAUGUAAUAGUAGAUGCUAACUGUAAUAUGAGGUUAUAGAUGUUAAUAGUGAUGUAAUAGUAGAUGCUAACUGUAAUAUGAGGUUAUAGAUGUUAAUAGUGAUGUAAUAGUAGAUGCUAACAGUAAUAUGAGGUUAUAGAUGUGAACAGUGAUGUAAUAGUAGAUGCUAACAGUAAUAUGAGGUUAUAGAUGUUAACAGUGAUGUAAUAGUAUAGAUGCUAACAGUAAUAUGAGGUUAUAGAUGUUAACAGUGAUGUAAUAGUAGAUGCUAACAGUAAUAUGAGGUUAUAGAUGUUAACAGUGAUGUAAUAGUAUAGAUGCUAACAGUAAUAUGAGGUUAUAGAUGUUAACAGUGAUGUAAUAGUAGAUGCUAACAGUAAUAUGAGGUUAUAGAUGUUAACAGUGAUGUAAUAGUAGAUACUAACAGUAAAAUUAAGUAAUUCAUGCUAACAGUAUGAAAUAGUAUGCCCCUCUGACAAAGUUCUGACAAACUUGCCACAAAUUUCCCACUCAUUAUAUUCACAUGCAAAUGAGCUUGCGAUUCGCCUUUUUGAAGAGUUUGUAGCCCUUCACCGGUAGUGGUGGACCUGCAGCAAACCUUUGGAAACAAAGAAGAGUUUGCUGCAAAGCUCAUCUGUAUGUGAAAAUAAUAAGUGCAGAAUUAGCAAGUUUGUAGCAAGUUGGCCAGAACUCUUGAUUUUUGUAAGGGUGAUGCUAACAGUAGUAUGAGGUUAUUGAUGCUAACAGUGCUGUAAAAGUAUAGAUGCUAAUGGAAAUAUUAGGUUUUUCAUGCUAACAGUGAUAUUAUAGAUAUUAUAGGUUAUAUUGUUGAUGUAAAACUGUAAAAUUUACUGUAAUAUGAGCUCCAAUGCUAACAGUGAGGAAUUGUAAAUAUUUGUAUGGCAAUCUGAGAUUAAAGUUCC